AUUGAACGCUGGCGGCAUGCCUUACACAUGCAAGUCGAACGGCAGCACGGACUUCGGUCUGGUGGCGAGUGGCGAACGGGUGAGUAAUAUAUCGGAACAUACCUUGUAGUGGGGGAUAACUAUCCGAAAGGAUAGCUAAUACCGCAUACGCUCUAAGGAUGAAAGCGGGGGAUCUUCGGACCUCGUUCUAUAAGAGUGGCCGAUAUCUGAUUAGCUAGUUGGUGAGGUAAAGGCUCACCAAGGCGACGAUCAGUAGCUGGUCUGAGAGGACGACCAGCCACACUGGAACUGAGACACGGUCCAGACUCCUACGGGAGGCAGCAGUGGGGAAUUUUGGACAAUGGGGGCAACCCUGAUCCAGCAAUGCCGCGUGAGUGAAGAAGGCCUUCGGGUUGUAAAGCUCUUUUGUCAGGGAAGAAACGGUUGUGGCUAAUAUCCAUGGCUAAUGACGGUACCUGAAGAAUAAGCACCGGCUAACUACGUGCCAGCCGCCGCCGUAAUAC
rnacentral:rRNA from 1 species